rnacentral:rRNA from 1 species
UGCGUAGGCGGUAAGAAAAGUUGGAUGUGAAAUCUUUGGGCUCAACCUGAAAAUGGCAUCCAAAACUGGUUUACUCGAGUUCAGCAGAGGAAAGUGGAAUUUCCAGUGUAGCGGUGAAAUGCGUAGAUAUUGGAAGGAACACCAGUGGCGAAGGCGGCUUUCUGGGCUGAAACUGACGCUAAAGUACGAAAGCGUGGGGAGCGAACAGGAUUAGAUACCCUGGUAGUCC